CCUACGGGAGGCUGCAGUGGGGAAUAUUGCACAAUGGGCGCAAGCCUGAUGCAGCCAUGCCGCGUGUGUGAAGAAGGCCUUCGGGUUGUAAAGCACUUUCAGCGGGGAGGAAGGCGGUGAGGUUAAUAACCUCAUCGAUUGACGUUACCCGCAGAAGAAGCACCGGCUAACUCCGUGCCAGCAGCCGCGGUAAUACGGAGGGUGCAAGCGUUAAUCGGAAUUACUGGGCGUAAAGCGCACGCAGGCGGUCUGUCAAGUCGGAUGUGAAAUCCCCGGGCUCAACCUGGGAACUGCAUUCGAAACUGGCAGGCUAGAGUCUUGUAGAGGGGGGUAGAAUUCCAGGUGGAGCGGUGAAAUGCGUAGAGAUCUGGAGGAAUACCGGUGGCGAAGGCGGCCCCCUGGACAAAGACCGACGCUCAGGUGCGAAAGCGUGGGGAGCAAACAGGAUUAGAUACCCCAGUAGUC
rnacentral:rRNA from 1 species